rnacentral:rRNA from 1 species
UACGGGGGGGGCAAGCGUUGUUCGGAUUUACUGGGCGUAAAGCGUGCGCAGGCGGUUCUCCAAGUCCGUUGUGAAAGCCCCGGGCUCAACCUGGGAAUGGCAGUGGAAACUAGGGGACUUGAAUCUGGCAGAGGGGGGUGGAAUUCCACGUGUAGCAGUGAAAUGCGUAGAGAUGUGGAGGAACACCGAUGGCGAAGGCAGCCCCCUGGGCUGAGAUUGACGCUCAGGCACGAAAGCGUGGGGAGCAAACAGG